UACGUAGGUGACAAGCGUUAUCCGGAUUUACUGGGUGUAAAGGGCGUGUAGGCGGUUUAGCAAGUCAGAAGUGAAAUUCCCGGGCUUAACUUGGGCGCUGCUUCUGAAACUGCUUUACUUGAGUGCUGGAGAGGAUAGUGGAAUUCCUAGUGUAGCGGUAAAAUGCGCAGAUAUUAGGAGGAACACCGGUGGCGAAGGCGGCUAUCUGGACAGUAACUGACGCUGAGGCGCGAAAGCACGGGGAG
rnacentral:rRNA from 1 species